CCUACGGGAGGCUGCAGUGGGGAAUAUUGCACAAUGGGGGAAACCCUGAUGCAGCGACGCCGCGUGCGUGAAGAAGUAAUUCUUUAUGUAAAGCUCUAUCAGCAGGGAAGAAAAUGACGGUACCUGAGUCAGAAGCCCCGGCUAACUACGUGCCAGCAGCCCCGGUAAUACGUAGGGGGCAAGCGUUAUCCGGAUUUACUGGGUGUAAAGGGAGCGUAGACGGCAGUGCAAGUCUGAAGUGAAAGGCGGGGGCUCAACCCCCGGAUUGCUCUGGAAACUGUACGGCUGGAGUGCAGGUGCGGUAAGUGGAAUUCCUGGUGUAGCGGUGAAAUGCGUAGAUAUUAGGAGGAACACCAGUGGCGAAGGCAGCUUACUGGACUGUAACUGACGUUGAGGCUCGAAAGCGUGGGGAGCAAACAGGAUUAGAUACCCCUGUAGUC
rnacentral:rRNA from 1 species